AAUCAACGCUGGCGGCGUGCCUCAGACAUGCAAGUCGAACGAUUAAAGCUCUCUUCGGAGAGUGUAUAGAGUGGCGCACGGGUGAGUAACACGUAAGUAAUCUACCCUCGAGUGGGGAAUAACAACCGGAAACGGUUGCUAAUACCGCAUAAUGCAGCGGCACCGCAAGGUGACAGUUGUUAAAGAUUUAUCGCUUGAGGAGGAGCUUGCGGCAGAUUAGCUAGUUGGCAGGGUAACGGCUUACCAAGGCUACGAUCUGUAACCGGUCUAAGAGGACGGUCGGUCACACUGACACUGAAUAACGGGUCAGACUCCUACGGGAGGCAGCAGUCGGGAAUUUUGGGCAAUGGGCGAAAGCCUGACCCAGCAACGCCGCGUGAAGGAUGAAGUAUUUCGGUAUGUAAACUUCGAAAGAAUAGGAAGAAUUAAUGACGGUACUAUUUAUAAGGUCCGGCUAACUACGUG
rnacentral:rRNA from 1 species